rnacentral:rRNA from 1 species
CCUACGGGCGGCAGCAGUGGGGAAUAUUGGACAAUGGGCGAAAGCCUGAUCCAGCCAUGCCGCGUGUGUGAAGAAGGCCUUCGGGUUGUAAAGCACUUUCAGUGGGGAAGAAAGCCUUGGGGCUAAUACCCUCGAGGAAGGACAUCACCCACAGAAGAAGCACCGGCUAACUCCGUGCCAGCAGCCGCGGUAAUACGGAGGGUGCGAGCGUUAAUCGGAAUUACUGGGCGUAAAGCGCGCGUAGGCGGUCUGAUAAGCCGGUUGUGAAAGCCCCGGGCUCAACCUGGGAACGGCAUCCGGAACUGUCAGGCUAGAGUGCAGGAGAGGAAGGUAGAAUUCCCGGUGUAGCGGUGAGAUGCGUAGAGAUCGGGAGGAAUACCAGUGGCGAAGGCGGCCUUCUGGACUGACACUGACGCUGAGGUGCGAAAGCGUGGGUAGCAAACAGGAUUAGAUACCCGAGUAGUC